rnacentral:rRNA from 1 species
AAUAUUGCACAAUGGAGGGAACUCUGAUGCAGCGACGCCGCGUGAACGACGAAGGCCUUCGGGUCGUAAAGUUCUGUCCUUGGGGAAGAAAAAUGACGGUACCCAAGGAGGAAGCCCCGGCUAACUACGUGCCAGCAGCCGCGGUAAUACGUAGGGGGCUAGCGUUGUCCGGAAUUAUUGGGCGUAAAGGGUUCGCAGGCGGCCUAAAAAGUCAGAUGUAAAAGGUCACGGCUCAACCGUGGUAAGCAUAUGAAACUUUUAGGCUUGAGUUAAGGAGAAGAAAGUGGAAUUCCUAGUGUAGCGGUGAAAUGCGUAGAUAUUAGGAGGAAUACCAGUGGCGAAGGCGACUUUCUGGACUUAUACUGACGCUGAGGAACGAAAGCGUGGGGAGCAAACA